ensembl:lncRNA
CCCGCUUCCUCCGCGCGGAACCUGGCCCCCUCCGCCGCUCUGUUCUUGUCAGCCUCGGACACUUACACCUCGAAGAUUCGGGCGCGCAGACACUGCUCCACACACCGGGGAACGCAUCGGGGACGCGGGCUCGGCGCGCCAUUGUGCACAAAGCCAGUCCCCUUGCAAACACACGUGUCCAGGUACACACGCCAGGUGGGCUUCACCUGGACACAGGCGGGUACUAUCAUGCCUUAUCAUCUCUCACACAAGAACGCACACACUGAACGCCCAAAAAACAUCCAGAGACCCUGGGGCCGCCGGCCCCUCCGCGAACAGAGACACAUUCAGUUGGCCAACAAUGGGGAUGAACUGGUGUGUGCCUUCGGGAGCCUGGGCUCUGGAAAGAGGGGCAGGUAAUAAGCGAACACUAAGACGCGCGAAGCGCUGUGAAGUGACGCCGCUGGGGGACGGGGACGGAAGGAGGUGCGAUCGGACUCAGGGAAGAAGCUGGGAGAGGAGCUGCGUUCUGCACAGGGACACUGGCACCCGCACGGCCGCGGAGGCUGAAACCCUCUGGGCAUGUUUGCCGACCAAGAAAAGGGAGUGGCGUCGCAGCAGCUCCGGAAGUGAGAAGGGCGAUCUGGGAAGGAAGCGGUCCGCAGCACUGUACCCAGGGCCUCGCAAGUGUCUUCAUCUUGCCGCAGGGAUAAGAAGACGCGUCUGUCCUACCAGACCAUCCCCAGGCCUUCACGGCGGCAGGCACACCAUGGCCUGCGGGUCUCCAGGGAGAAUGACUCAAGUCCACAGACAAUCAGCAAGCCUCCAGGAUGGAGGGACACCUGCAGGAUGGCGGCCCACAGCCACUGCGCCAUCUAGCUCAUGGCAGAGAGACCACGUAUUUGGACAUCAGUUGCCCAAACCGUCAUCUGUAAAACAGGUGUGACUUCGCUGCGCUCCAGUUUGAGGUCCUGGAUGUGAACACCUGCUAUGGGAUGGGUGUGUCAGGCAGGGUCUGCAGACAGGAGGCAGGGACUAGGCGAGGUGGCCAUUGGCAGCUCCUGGGACUCCUUAACGGGUGCCGGCCACACAGCAGGUGCUCAUUAACGUUAGCUGCUACCCCCUCUGGCAACAGUGCUCACAGAAGGCUCUGGAGACCAGAAGAACGGAGGGGCCACGUUGGCUUCCCUCUCCUAGAGCCCAGACUGGGGACCCUUGCUUGCCUUGGGAAUGUGUCAUCAGUCUAAGGAGAGCGCUGGGGGCAAGGCCUCCUGCAGUGGACCUUGGCCUAGGCAGAAGCUUCUAGGCCACAGCGGAGGGGUCAGGGAGCGCCCACCCCCAUGCCUUUCUUCUGGCUCAGCCUCUCUUGCAGCACACCUGGCUGCCACCUUGCUGCCCUCGAAAAGGACGAGGGGCUCAGCUCCAACAGUUGCCAGCACAAUCUGAGUUUCCUUUCCCCUUCCUUAUAUCCUUAGAAACCCUGCUCAUCUUCUCUCGCUCACCCUCCCACAAGCUUCUUUAAAGGUCUUUUGUGGCUACAGAAGGCCUCACCCUGACUUGGGGAUUCUCACCCCACAAAGAGUGGACCCCAUGCAAGACGGUGCUAGUUCCAGCAAGAUAUUCUCAGGGAAGGCAGGCCCUGGGGGACAGAAGAACACUCCCCUUUGAGGGCACAAUGCAAGGACAGCUCUAGAACGCUCCGUUCUGGAAUCUGCCCCUGCUCUCCCAGAGCCUGCCUUGACCCACACCAGUCCACGGCUGUGUUAGCUUCCCACCCCAAGCUCUCAGCCCUGGUCACUCCCUUGCCUUGCCUCUGCCCCAGUCCCAGAAAGACUUCAGAAAUUUGGGUGCAGCCUCAAGGGGCACAGGUCCCAGCAGCCUCCUCCAGCCCUGUUGCCCUAGCCCUUCUGACACAAAUCAGGCCUCAGCCCUGCCCCCUGCUCCUC